GAUGAAGAACGCAGCGAAAUGCGAUACGUAAUGUGAAUUGCAGAAUUCAGUGAAUCAUCGAAUCUUUGAACGCACAUUGCGCCCCUUGGUAUUCCGAGGGGCAUGCCUGUUCGAGCGUCAUUAUAACCCCUCAAGCUCAGCUUGGUGUUGGGGCCUGCCGCACGGGCAGCCCUUAAAAUCAGUGGCGGUGCCAUCUGGCUCUAAGCGUAGUAAUUCUUCUCGCUAUAGAGUCCCGGUGGAUGCUUGCCAUUAACCCCCAAUUUUCUAUGGUUGACCUCGGAUCAGGUAGGGAUACCCGCUGAACUUAAGCAUAUCAAUAAGCGGAGGA
rnacentral:misc_RNA from 1 species